UACGUAGGAUGCGAGCGUUAUCCGGAUUUAUUGGGUUUAAAGGGUGCGUAGGCGGACUGUCAAGUCAGCGGUAAAAUUGAGAGGCUCAACCUCUUCCCGCCGUUGAAACUGGUGGUCUUGAGUGGAUGAGAAGUACGCGGAAUGCGUGGUGUAGCGGUGAUAUGCAUAGAUAUCACGCAGAACUCCGAUUGCGAAGGCAGCGUACCGGCAUCCAACUGACGCUGAGGCACGAAAGCGUGGGGAUCAAACAGG
rnacentral:rRNA from 1 species